GGUGAGUAACACGUGGAUAACCUACCUAUAAGACUGGGAUAACUUCGGGAAACCGGAGCUAAUACCGGAUAAUAUUUUGAACCGCAUGGUUCAAAAGUGAAAGACGGUCUUGCUGUCACUUAUAGAUGGAUCCGCGCUGCAUUAGCUGGUUGGUAAGGUAACGGCUUACCAAGGCAACGAUGCAUAGCCGACCUGAGAGGGUGAUCGGCCACACUGGAACUGAGACACGGUCCAG
rnacentral:rRNA from 1 species